GACGAACGCUGGCGGCGUGCCUAAUACAUGCAAGUCGAACGAGUGGCGGACGGGUGAGUAAUGUCUGGGAAACUGCCUGAUGGAGGGGGAUAACUACUGGAAACGGUAGCUAAUACCGCAUACCAUCAGAUGUGCCCAGAUGGGAGUAGCUAGGAGGUGGGGUAACGGCUCACCUAGGCGACGAUCCCUAGCUGGUCUGAGAGGAUGACCAGCCACACUGGAACGGAGACACGGUCCAGACUCCUACGGGAGGCAGCAGUGGGGAAUAUUGCACAAUGGGCGCAAGCCUGAUGCAGCCAUGCAGCGUGGGUGAAGAAGGUCUUCGGAGUGUAAAGCACUUUAAGUUGGUAGGCGUUACCAACAGAAUAAGCACCGGCUAACUUCGUGCCAGCCGCCGCGGUAAUUC
rnacentral:rRNA from 1 species